CUAACUAUCAUCUGCAUAAAGAUACCUGAUUUUGCUUUUUUAUUUUGAAAAUCAAAUCACACAAUCUUAUUUGUUCAUCAGUUUAACCUAUUAACUCCUUUAUGUACGCUUAAAUUUUCUCUGCUGAUGAAACUUAAUCCCAAUAUAUCUUCUUAAUUUUUCAAAACACUGAUCGUGCAAAUCAAGGACGGAAUCGAAAGAUCACACACAUCUUUUUCCUUUUUCGCUCUCGAACACCUGGAUGGGGAGUUCUUGGUCUGUGUUCUAUUGCUCUUAAUUUGAUUUGAUUUAUUGUUGCAGGUGUUUAAGUAAUUUGAAGAGUUUGGUCCCGAUGACAUCAAAUCGUCAUUGAAACAAACAAAUUUCAAGGAGGCAAUGGUUCGGUUAUAUUGUCAUCUUGGGAUUCUGGUAUCAUCAAUUGGCUUAACAAGACAUCUUCAUAACUUUCUCAAAAUAAAUGAGAAUUUUUGUAUGGAAGCAUAAUACAAUCUGCUGUAUUCUCCUUUCUCCACUAAUUGCUGAUGAAAUCAUUUCUCUAACACAUGAGACUGGUUCCCCUUGUCAGCACACCCAUGAACAAGGUAAUUUAUCUCAUUCUUUCAUAUUCUUUUUGAAAAAAAAACAAUUCCAAGCAAUUGUGUCUGUUAAUUUGUUUUUUUUAUAUAAUUCUUUGUUUAAAGAUGCAUUGUAUUCUCUUGGGUUUCCUAAUUCAAGUUUUACAUGAUUUUGUUCUUUGGCCAAUAACUAACAAGUUUGUUGGCGAUUUAGCUUUUAGUUUUUUUUAUAUUACGGUUCAAGUGUAUAGGGGUGAGACAAUUAUUUCUUUCAGUUGUCCAUUGGAAAAGAAUAUUGUUGAUCUUUUCGAAGAUGAAAAUACUAGGAGGAUAAUAAGAAACAAAGGUCAGUUGAGAAAGGUGAAAUGCUUGCAAAUUCCAAGACAAACUAAGCCACUUCAAGCUGUCAGAGCAAUUCAUACCUAUUUUUAAAGAUAGUUUAUCUAUUCAGAGAUAAUAAAUUUGUGGAUCUUUAUGAUUUGGGAAGUGAGUCCAAUAUUGAGGUAUUAUAGAAAAAAUAAAGAAAUUUGGUGGCUUGACAGUGCAAAAAGUUUUAAAAGAGAACUUGAUAGACACCACAGAAGAAAACCUGAGUCAUAUUAUGUAGAGUUCUAUUAUAUCAUCGUUUACGUAGACACAAUCGGUGGUGUGGACUCCAGGUGAGUUGAUAACUGUCUAUCACCGGUAUUAACUGUAUAAUAGAACUAAAAAAAGUUUGAUAAUAAAUUGGUUGCAAUUGAAACUUCGGUGACCUAAUAGGUAAAUUUUAUGUUAUUAGCUGUCUUUAAGAUCAUUUUCCCUAAAUUAUUUUACAUUUAAUUUCUACAUGUUAUUAUUUUUACAAGUCUAAGUAUUUUGGAAUCUAAAA